GACGUAACACGUAGGUAACCUGCCUUACAGUUUGGGAUACCCUGGCGAAAGCUAGGCUAAUACCGAAUAAUUGGAUUGGAGGCAUCUCCGAUCUCUAAAAGGGGCCCUUAAAGCCUCGCUGAAUGAUGGACCUGCGGCGCAUUAGCUAGUUGGUGAGAUAACGGCCCACCAAGGCGACGAUGCGUAACUGUGCUGAGAGGCAAAACAGUCACAUUGGAACUUAGACACGGUCCAAACUCCUACGGGAGGCAGCAGUAGGGAAUUUUCGGCAAUGGGGGAAACCCUGACCGAGCAAUGCCGCGUGAAUGAUGAAGAAUCUUCGGAUUGUAAAAUUCUGUUGUUAGGAAUGAAUUACACUACUAGGAAAUGAGUAGUGCUUGACAGUACCUGACUAGAAAGCCCCGGCUAACUAUGUGCCAGCCGCCGC
rnacentral:rRNA from 1 species